rnacentral:sRNA from 1 species
UUUUUGUUUGUUUUUUG